ACGUGCUACAAUGGCGUAAACAAAGGGAGGCGAACCCGCGAGGGGGAGCGAAUCCCAAAAAUAACGUCCCAGUUCGGACUGUAGUCUGCAACCCGACUACACGAAGCUGGAAUCGCUAGUAAUCGCGAAUCGGAACGUCGCGGUGAAUACGUUCCCGGGUCUUGUACACACCGCCCGUCACACCAUGGGAGUCGGGAAUGCCCGAAGCCGGUGACCCAACCGAAAGGAGGGAGCCGUCGAAGGCAGGUCGGAUGACUGGGGUGAAGUCGUAACAAGGUACC
rnacentral:rRNA from 1 species